AGUUUCUCUUACCAACAUUANGUACCCAUGCCGAACACAGAAGUUAAGCCCUAGAACGCCGGAAGUAGUUGGGGGUUGCCCCCUGUGAGAUAGGGAAGUCGCUUAGCU
rnacentral:rRNA from 1 species